rnacentral:rRNA from 1 species
UACGUAGGGACCAAGCGUUGUCCGGAAUCAUUGGGCGUAAAGAGCGUGUAGGCGGCUUGUUAAGUCUUGCGUGAAAUCUCGGGGCUCAACCCCCGAGCGGUCGUGAGAAACUGGCAGGCUAGAGUGCGGGAGAGGAGAGUGGAAUUCCUGGUGUAGCGGUGAAAUUCGUAGAUAUUGGGAAGAACACCGGUGGCGAAGGCGACAUACUGGUCCAUUACUGACGCUGAGGCUCGAAAGCGUGGGGAGCAAACAGG